GAAACAUUUUUAGAGAAAGAAACAAAAUUACAUAUUGAUGUCAUGGUGCUCAUAUCUUUGAUAAUCCAAAGCCAGACUUGGGUAUUUUUGAAGGUCCACCAUCUAUAGGAGACAUCUUGAGAACCAAAAUGAAACCCCUGGUUGACUUCACGUAAAACGUAUUGUAGUUUUCCAUAUAUGCUAUUCUAUAUUUUAUGUUAUCUUUGGUAUCUGCUUCUCCCAAGUUCCAUUUUAUGUUCAUCAUAAACUAAACUAGUUGCCUCACUAACU
rnacentral:misc_RNA from 1 species